AUUGAACGCUGGCGGCAGGCCUAACACAUGCAAGUCGAACGAGUGGCGGACGGGUGACUAAUGUCUGGGAAACUGCCUGAUGGAGGGGGAUAACUACUGGAAACGGUAGCUAAUACCGCCUACCAUCGUCUGUGCCCAGAUGGGAUUAGCCAAUAGGUGGGGUAAAGGCUCACCUAGGCGACGAUCCCUAGCUGGUCUGAGAGGAUGACAAGCCACACUGGAACUGAGACACGGUCCAGAAUCCGACGGGAGGCAGCAGGGGAGAAUAUUGGACAAUGGGCGCAAGCCUGAUGCAGCCAUGACGCGUGGAUGAAGAAGGCCUUCGGGUUGUAAAGUACUUUCAGCGGGGAGGCGUUACCCGCAGAAGAAGCACCGGCUAACUCCGUGCCAGCAGCCGCGGUAAUUC
rnacentral:rRNA from 1 species